rnacentral:rRNA from 1 species
GAGCUUACCAUGCAAGUCGAGCGCACUCUUCGGAGUGAGCGGCGGACGGGUUAGUAACGCGUGGGAACGUGCCCUUCUCUAAGGAAUAGCCACUGGAAACGGUGAGUAAUACCUUAUACGCCCUUCGGGGGAAAGAUUUAUCGGAGAAGGAUCGGCCCGCGUUAGAUUAGAUAGUUGGUGGGGUAAUGGCCUACCAAGUCUACGAUCUAUAGCUGGUUUUAGAGGAUGAUCAGCAACACUGGGACUGAGACACGGCCCAGACUCCUACGGGAGGCAGCAGUGGGGAAUCUUGGACAAUGGGCGCAAGCCUGAUCCAGCCAUGCCGCGUGAGUGAUGAAGGCCUUAGGGUCGUAAAGCUCUUUCGCCAGAGAUGAUAAUGACAGUAUCUGGUAAAGAAACCCCGGCUAACUCCGUGCCAGCAGCCGCGGUAAUACGGAGGGGGUUAGCGUUGUUCGGAAUUACUGGGCGUAAAGCGCACGUAGGCGGAUCAGAAAGUAUAGGGUGAAAUCCCAGGGCUCAACCCUGGAACUGCCUUGUAAACUCCUGGUCUUGAGUUCGAGAGAGGUGAGUGGAAUUCCGAGUGUAGAGGUGAAAUUCGUAGAUAUUCGGAGGAACACCAGUGGCGAAGGCGGCUCACUGGCUCGAUACUGACGCUGAGGUGCGAAAGUGUGGGGAGCAAACAGGAUUAGAUACCCUGGUAGUCCA